CCUACGGGGGGCAGCAGUGGGGAAUAUUGCACAAUGGGCGCAAGCCUGAUGCAGCCAUGCCGCGUGUGUGAAGAAGGCCUUCGGGUUGUAAAGCACUUUCAGCGGGGAGGAAGGCGGUGAGGUUAAUAACCUCAUCGAUUGACGUUACCCGCAGAAGAAGCACCGGCUAACUCCAUGCCAGCAGCCGCGGUAAUACGGAGGGUGCAAGCGUUAAUCGGAAUUACUGGGCGUAAAGCGCACGCAGGCGGUCUGUCAAGUCGGAUGUGAAAUCCCCGGGCUCAACCUGGGAACUGCAUUCGAAACUGGCAGGCUAGAGUCUUGUAGAGGGGGGUAGAAUUCCAGGUGUAGCGGUGAAAUGCGUAGAGAUCUGGAGGAAUACCGGUGGCGAAGGCGGCCCCCUGGACAAAGACUGACGCUCAGGUGCGAAAGCGUGGGGAGCAAACAGGAUUAAAUACCCGUGUAGUC
rnacentral:rRNA from 1 species